GAAUAAGGUGAACUGAACAUAGCCUUAAACCAAAAAAAACAUCCCCUCAAAAUUCUAAUGGGCAAAAUAGUCUUUUCGCUCCUACAAUCUUGAUCAAUCAAACCACACUUAAUUACUCCAAAUUCGAGGCUCCCUGUUUCUCUCUCUUUCAUUCUUGCUUUUUCCACUGCUUUUCCCCAUCAAUAUUGCCAUCAUUCUUCAUGUCAGCUUCUUCCCCAAAAUCUCUCAAAACCCCAUAAAUUCAUAUAGUAAAUCAUAAUAACCCACAACUUUUGUUUCUUCUUAAAAAAAACAUAACUUUCUUCCCAAAAAUGACACUUCCAUAAAAAAAACUAACAUCAACCCAGAAAUUCAAAACCCAAAACUUCAUACAAAAAAUGGGGAGCACAAACUCAAAAGCAGAAAAAACAGCAGCAUUAGGAAUGUGCAAACAAAGAAAACGGUUAAUAAACCAAACAAUAAAUUCAAGGUACAAUUUAGCAGCUGCACAUAUUUCCUACAUUCAAUCUCUCAAAAACAUUGGCAUUUCACUUCGACGUUUCGCAGAAGCCGAGGUUUUGAUAGAAUCAUCAAUCUCAGUUUCUCCUACUCACAUAACUGAAGUUGAUAAAACACCAUCUCACUCUUCUUCCUACCACCCUUCUCCUUCUCUUUCUCAUGACGAGCUUUAUUCCUCUGAACCUAGAUUAAGUUGCAUGAAAACAUCCGCCGCAAAUACUGGUGUUACUGUUACUUAUAAUCCUAGUACCAACAUUCAUACUUUCACUGAUAAUAAUAAUAAUAAUAUUAACAAUGAUGAAGAUUCCUUAGUUUUUCCGAUGCCACCACCGCCACCUCCGCCGCCGGAAUCUGAAGCUUCUUGGGAUUAUUUUGACCCGGGUGGUGACCCGGAUCAACCCGAGAGUUUUCGCUUUGUGGGUCCGGGUUUGGAAGAGGGUGAAGGUGGUGGGAGUGUUAGGUUGUGGGGUGAAGAGGGUAAUGUUGGAAAUUUACAUAAGGUUGAAGAUGUGAAAAUUGGGAAGAAAUUAGGAGGAGAUAAUAAGGAUGUAAGUGAAGAAAGGGAGGAUGCUUCAGAGUAUAUUACACAUAGAGCAAAGGAUUUUGUGUCAAGUAUAAAGGAUAUUGAGCAUCGGUUUUUUAGAGCAUCUGAGUCGGGUAAAGAGGUUGCUAGGAUGUUUGAAGCUAAUAAGAUUCAGGUUGGAUAUGCUGAGGUUAAAGGAAGCUCGUCUUCGUCGGACAUUUUAGCUGCUUUUCCUGUACUUUGUUGUCGUGGCGAAAGUGUUCAUGCAGCUAAUGAACUUCACCCACAAAAUGUGCCCAAGGUCAUCAUAUGGAACAGAUCUACAUCUUCACAAUCAUCAUCAUCUAGAAACCCUCUAGCCGUAGCAUCAAAGGAUGAUGCAGAUGACAGUGGCAGUGAGUGUGUCGAGGAUUUUUGCAUGAUUUCAGGGAGUCAUUCCUCCACUCUAGACCGGCUCUAUGCAUGGGAAAGAAAGUUAUAUGAUGAAGUCAAGGCCAGUGAAGUCAUCAGGAAGGUUUAUGACAAGAAAUGUGACCAACUCAGGCAUCAGUUUGCUAAAGAUCUUAGUACCCACGUUAUUGAUAAAACCAGAGCAGCAGUAAAGGAUCUGCACUCACGCAUCAGAGUAGCCCUUCAGGCUGUUGAUUCAAUAGCAAAGCGCAUUGAGAAAAUGAGAGAUGAAGAAUUACAGCCGCAGUUCAAUGAAUUGAUCACAGGAUUCAUCAGGAUGUGGAAAGCCAUGCUAGAGUGCCACCAUGCUCAGUACAUAACAAUAUCAUUAGCUUACCAUGCUAAGACUUCUGUUGGGACCUUGGGAGGAGAAACACGUAAGCAAAUAAUGGCUCAACUCCAGUAUGAAUUCGAGUGCUUUGGUCUCAGCUUUGCUAACUGGAUGAAUAGCCUUACGUCCUAUGUGGAAGCUCUGAAUGGAUGGCUACAAACUUGUGUGCUUCAGCCUCAGGAACGCACUCGAGGUAGUAGAAGGCCAUUCUCCCCUCGUCGUGUCUUGGCCCCUCCGAUAUUUGUUCUCUUUCGAGAUUGGUCAGCAGGGAUUAAAUCUUUACCUUCUGAAGAAGUCGGUGAUGCCAUUAGAAACUUCUUAUCAGACCUUCAGCAGCUGAUAAAACAGCAGCAGCAGACAGAGGAGAAAAAGGAAUCAGCAGUUUCAGAAAACAAUGAAGUACAGGGGAAGAAUGAAGAUACUAAUGAUGGUAAAUCUGGAAAUUUGGGCUCCAUCCAUACAAGUUUGACAAAGGUACUUGAUAAACUGACCAAAUUCUCCGAGGCUUCUUUGAAGCUUUAUGAGGAUAUUAGACAGAAAAACGAGGAUGCUCGUGUUGCAUAUUUGAAUCCGAGACAACCUUUCAGAUACUGAAGUGAAAGGUGCAUGUAAUUACUACUACUGGAAAUAUAUCCAAGGAUUUUGCUCCUGAUACAUCCGUCAAGUUUCAGAGUUAAUUUGCAGUUUCAGCUAGAGUAGAAGUAGCUAACAAAGCUAGAAAAGCAAGACGCUCAGAUACUCUUGGUCAGCAUCGCGUGCAUGAAACUUGAAAGGGCCACAUAGAAGAACUAAAUUGGAACAUGAUGCUUAAGAAAACUUUCUUUAUAUUGAGAUGCUUAAGAAGAACAUGAAGUUGCAACUCCUUGAAGAAACUAAUUUUCAUAAAAUUCAUGAACAAAAAAUUAACCAAAUUUCAAUAUGCCAAUCACAGAUAGCUUAAGCAGAUAAUCUACAAUUCAACAUACAUUUGAACCGAGCCAAAUACAAGCUAUAAUGUCUUUACAGCCAUAAUCGGUUGCUGUAUCAACCCUUCACCCACAAUGAAAAAAGUGAAUUGAAAAAGAGGAUGUAACUGAGAAAUGUGUCAUUAAUAUUUUCUCUGCUUUCUAAAUGUCCCAUAAAAGAUCAAUUCUGCAAUCCCUGUAUCCAGAUUUAGAAUCCAACAUGCUGUGUAUACUGUAAAUAAGCUUCCUUCUGCAUUGCUAUGGGGGCACGAGUAACACCA